GACGAACGCUGGCGGCGUGCUUAACACAUGCAAGUCGAACGGGCCUGUCUUCUUUUUUGGGGGUGGGUUGAGUGGCGAACGGGUGAGUAUCACGUGAGUAACCUGCCCUUCGGUCCUGGAUAACCGCUUGAAAGGGCGGCUAAUACGGGGUGGUCCGGUUGGUCCGCAUGGGCUGGUCGGGAUAGAUUCACUGUUUUUGGUGUUUCGGCGGGGGAUGGGCUCGCGGCCUAUCAGCUUGUUGGUGGGGUGAUGGCCUACCAAGGCGGUGACGGGUAGCCGGCCUGAGAGGGUGGGCAGCCACACUGGGACUGAGAUACGGCCCAGACUCCUGCGGGAGGCAGCAGUGGGGGGUAUUGCACAAUGGGCGGAAGCCUGAUGCAGCGACGUCGCGUGAGGGAUGGAGGCCUUCGGGUUGUGAACCUCUGUUUCCGGUGGUGAAGGCCCUGUCCGUGUGGUGGGGUUGACGGUAGCCGGGGAUGAAGCGCCGGCUAACUACGUG
rnacentral:rRNA from 1 species